ACUUCCGGGGUGUUCCCUUUGACCGAAAUCUGAAGAAAAUAUAUUUCUUCUCUCGCUUUACAAUCUGAACUUGAUGACGUGACAGACGAGGACAUUACCGAAAAUUGUAGUCACACCUAAUUCACAGACAUCGUUAUAAGAGUGCAUAUUGCCAAAAUGAAGAAAACAUAUGCAACGGGAUGUAAAAUAAAACCUUCACAUCCAAAUUGGGUGUAAUCCAAAAUACAAGGUUGGUUAACAUUCAAAAACCUAUUGGAAAAAAAGAGAGGAAAGCAGGCAGGGACCGUGUUGGGUAGAAGAAGAGUUCCUGUGGAAGAGGGCAGGAACGGAGUGUGCAAACGACUAAAAGCCGUUGUGUAUAUGUAUGAAGUGGUGAAAGUGUGAGUGAAACCCGCUGAACAACUUGUCACACGGGCGGAAUAAAGAGGAAAGGACAUAGCAUCAGUGUGCACGAAGGGAGUAUUUAACUUAUGGUAACAACGUCAAUGCAGAGCCCUGGAGAAAGAGGUCUUUCCUGUGAUCCGUGCAGAAGCAGACACAACAGAAGGGCUACCUUGAUCAGUGCCACCGGCCAGGAAUACAGCCCUGUGGUGUAGAACAUUUGACAUUCACGGAAUCUUUGGGGUUCAGUCCUGGUCACAAGAAAGAAAUACCAGACAGGGAAAAUACAGAAAUU
rnacentral:lncRNA from 1 species